rnacentral:rRNA from 1 species
AGAGUUUGAUCAUGGCUCAGGACGAACGCUGGCGGCGUGCCUAAUACAUGCAAGUAGAACGCUGAAGAAAGGAGCUUGCUUCUUUUGGAUGAGUUGCGAACGGGUGAGUAACGCGUAGGUAACCUGCCUUGUAGCGGGGGAUAACUAUUGGAAACGAUAGCUAAUACCGCAUAACAGCUUUUGACACAUGUUAGAAGCUUGAAAGAUGCAAUUGCAUCACUACGAGAUGGACCUGCGUUGUAUUAGCUAGUAGGUAGGGUAACGGCCUACCUAGGCGACGAUACAUAGCCGACCUGAGAGGGUGAUCGGCCACACUGGGACUGAGACACGGCCCAGACUCCUACGGGAGGCAGCAGUAGGGAAUCUUCGGCAAUGGGGGCAACCCUGACCGAGCAACGCCGCGUGAGUGAAGAAGGUUUUCGGAUCGUAAAGCUCUGUUGUAAGAGAAGAACGUGUGUGAGAGUGGAAAGUUCACACAGUGACGGUAACUUACCAGAAAGGGACGGCUAACUACGUGCCAGCAGCCGCGGUAAUACGUAGGUCCCGAGCGUUGUCCGGAUUUAUUGGGCGUAAAGCGAGCGCAGGCGGUUUAAUAAGUCUGAAGUUAAAGGCAGUGGCUUAACCAUUGUUCGCUUUGGAAACUGUUAAACUUGAGUGCAGAAGGGGAGAGUGGAAUUCCAUGUGUAGCGGUGAAAUGCGUAGAUAUAUGGAGGAACACCGGUGGCGAAAGCGGCUCUCUGGUCUGUAACUGACGCUGAGGCUCGAAAGCGUGGGGAGCAAACAGGAUUAGAUACCCUGGUAGUCCACGCCGUAACGAUGAGUGCUAGGUGUUAGGCCCUUUCCGGGGCUUAGUGCCGCAGCUAACGCAUUAAGCACUCCGCCUGGGGAGUACGACCGCAAGGUUGAAACUCAAAUGAAUUGACGG